UGCAGUCGAGCGGAUGAAGGGAGCUUGCUCCUGGAUUCAGCGGCGGACGGGUGAGUAAUGCCUAGGAAUCUGCCUGGUAGUGGGGGAUAACGUCCGGAAACGGGCGCUAAUACCGCAUACGUCCUGAGGGAGAAAGUGGGGGAUCUUCGGACCUCACGCUAUCAGAUGAGCCUAGGUCGGAUUAGCUAGUUGGUGGGGUAAAGGCCUACCAAGGCGACGAUCCGUAACUGGUCUGAGAGGAUGAUCAGUCACACUGGAACUGAGACACGGUCCAGACUCCUACGGGAGGCAGCAGUGGGGAAUAUUGGACAAUGGGCGAAAGCCUGAUCCAGCCAUGCCGCGUGUGUGAAGAAGGUCUUCGGAUUGUAAAGCACUUUAAGUUGGGAGGAAGGGCAGUAAGUUAAUACCUUGCUGUUUUGACGUUACCAACAGAAUAAGCACCGGCUAACUUCGUGCCAGCAGCCGCGGUAAUACGAAGGGUGCAAGCGUUAAUCGGAAUUACUGGGCGUAAAGCGCGCGUAGGUGGUUCAGCAAGUUGGAUGUGAAAUCCCCGGGCUCAACCUGGGAACUGCAUCCAAAACUACUGAGCUAGAGUACGGUAGAGGGUGGUGGAAUUUCCUGUGUAGCGGUGAAAUGCGUAGAUAUAGGAAGGAACACCAGUGGCGAAGGCGACCACCUGGACUGAUACUG
rnacentral:rRNA from 1 species